rnacentral:rRNA from 1 species
AGGGAAUAGAUACCCAGGUAGUCCCAGCCGUAAACGAUGCUCGCUAGGUGUCAGGCAUGGCGCGACCGUGUCUGGUGCCGCAGGGAAGCCGUGAAGCGAGCCACCUGGGAAGUACGGCCGCAAGGCUGAAACUUAAAGGAAUUGGCGGGGAGCACAACAACGGGUGGAGCCUGCGGUUUAAUUGGACUCAACGCCGGACAACUCACCGGGGGCGACAGCAAUAUGUAGGCCAGGCUGAAGACCUUGCCUGAAUCGCUGAGAGGAGGUGCAUGGCCGUCGCCAGUUCGUACUGUGAAGCAUCCUGUUAAGUCAGGCAACGAGCGAGACCCGUGCCCACUGUUACCAGCAUGUCCUCCGGGACGAUGGGUACUCUGUGGGGACCGCCGAUGUUAAAUCGGAGGAAGGUGCGGGCCACGGUAGGUCAGUAUGCCCCGAAUCUCCCGGGCUACACGCGGGCUACAAUGGAUGGGACAAUGGGUCCCUCCCCUGAAAAGGGCUGGUAAUCUCACAAACCCAUUCGUAGUUCGGAUCGAGGGCUGUAAC